rnacentral:rRNA from 1 species
UACGGGGGGGGCAAGCGUUGUUCGGAAUUACUGGGCGUAAAGGGUUUGUAGGUGGCUUGUUAAGUCAGACGUGAAAUCCCUCAGCUUAACUGGGGAACUGCGUCUGAUACUGGCGAGCUUGAGUGCAGGAGAGGAACGCGGAAUUCCAGGUGUAGCGGUGAAAUGCGCAGAUAUCAGGAGGAACACCGAUGGCGAAGGCAGUUCUCUGGGCCGUAACUGACGCUGAGGAGCGAAAGCGUGGGGAGCGAACAGG